UCCCUCUUAGCUCAGUGGUAGAGCGCAUCACUCGUAAUGAUGAGGUCAGUCGUUCAAUCCGGCUAGGGGGAA
rnacentral:tRNA from 1 species